rnacentral:lncRNA from 1 species
CGCAUAUAGCGUGACCCCUUCCCCCUUGCCUUCUUCUUUUUGGGGGAGAGAAAAACGAGAUUAAAAAAUAGACCCCGGGGAUAUACAAAAUCUGAGGGGAGUGGCCUUCCCUUUCCUUCAUUUCUCUCCAAAACCUCUACACGGUUAACGAUGAUGCUAGCCGCUCUCCCUCUCUCUCGUUCAUCUACAAACACACACGAAAAGGGAAAGAAAACACACUUGAAUUCUGAACUUUCAGAUCUGGAAAAAGUUGAAAAAAAGGAUUUAAAGCUAUUUGAGUCUCAUACAAUUGCCGCCUAUUUCGGGGCCUUUGCAAGCUGUUUUGAGUUGAAGAAGUUGAUCGAUUUCUGUUGUUCUUCCUUCUCAUGUUGAUUGUUGUUAUUCUGUGGUUUUCGCCAAAUUCAUGGCCUAGCUCCAGUAUUCAUUUUUGUUCGUUUUGGUCCGGGAGUGAGGUAAACACAUAAAACUCUUGAUUUAUUUGAGUUUUCUUCAAUAAAAUGAGUUUGUGAUCUAUUUGGGAUCCGUAUGAUAUUUGUUUUUGCUCAGAUUUUUGUAUUAAAACUGUCUCCUUAGUACUGAAUCGGAUUAUUCCUUGGAGCUACAACUCACAAGUUUUAAUUUGAGCUUUUAAAAUUCACUGUAUGUUGAUUUGAUUAACAGUUGAACUGUUUCUCUACAUUAUUCGGUUUGUGUGAUAAUCUCCCUGAUUUGGUUUAGUUUAGUUUAUAUCCUGUCAAAGUUUUCCGGUUAGAAAUUAUGUCAAAUUUUGAAGUUACCGGAAAUGAUAGUUAAUGUGAAAAGGUUCGACACUAGCGUGCUUCAGUUCUUAAUUUCUACUCCAUUCUGUGAUUCAUGUUAUGAAUGGUUGCAACAUCUCUGCCAUACUUAUCUUAUCAAAUAAAUUGUAGACAUAGAAACUCUAGAAUUGGAGUAGAACCAUACAGAUGUGCACACUAAACACCAGGUAUUAACAGGACAAGGGUGACGUGAACAAAUCUGAUAUUCUUUGGAUAAAAGAUGGAAGAGGAAACAAGCGAAUUCAAUUGUAAAAUCUGAUUAGUGUGUAAUUUGAUUUUGCCGAUGCAACGGAAAGGGCUGUUAGUAUAACAUCUGGAGAGACAAAGGCACACUCUUCUAGUUCUAUGCUCUAUGCGAGUGUUAACAUGAUUAUGUACCUGUAUGUGUGUGCUUGUUCAGUUGGUAUUCUUUUUCACUUGUGUUGGACCGAUCUAUUGGAUAUAAUUAGCUUUAGCUCUAUUUCUUUUUUGUUGUAGAUAUUAUUUACUUAUGAGUUUAUAUCUCCCUUUUAGUUUCUAAAAUUCUAAUUGUUUGACAGAAUCUAUAGCUUGAAAUGCACACAUGCACUGUGUUAUGUAGUAAGCUGGGUAUUUAGGCACAAUAUGAAAUUCAAUGUGAAUAUUGCUAGGGAGAAGUGUUCAUUUCUCUUCAGUUUCUUGCUUACGAGUAAUGACAACUGUUAGUGUAGGGUGGUCUGUUUAAAUUGAGAAGCUAUACAAUGCUGUCCAAUAAUCUGGUAUCCAUACCUCGUUCCAUAAUUCAUGGCCUCUUU